rnacentral:rRNA from 1 species
UACGGAGGGAGCUAGCGUUGUUCGGAAUUACUGGGCGUAAAGCGCGCGUAGGCGGCUUUGUAAGUUAGAGGUGAAAGCCCGGGGCUCAACUCCGGAACUGCCUUUAAGACUGCAUCGCUUGAAUCCGGGAGAGGUGAGUGGAAUUCCGGGUGUAGCGGUGGAAUGCGUAGAGAUCCGGAAGAACACCGGUGGCGAAGGCGGCCUGCUGGGCAGUUGCUGACGCUGAGGCGCGACAGCGUGGGGAGCAAACAGG